rnacentral:pre_miRNA from 1 species
CGUGUAUUUGAUAAACUGAAUUAGACACUCCAUGUGGUAGAGUGUCAGUUUGUCAAAUACCCCAA